CGAAUCCUGAAGUGUUCGUUAAAAAGUGUUAUUUAACAGUUUUGACCGAACAUUAAAUCGUUGGGAGCCCGAUAUUUUUUCUGCGGCAAACAUGCCCCAUUGGAGCGGGACGUUUAAUGCAGAAGUGAGGGCACCCCCCUGCUAGAGUGCGGGUUCAAAACGAUGUGUAACAUGACGGCACAUUCGGGAUUCGU
rnacentral:other from 1 species